UAGCGGACACGCAUAGGGCCUAGGCU
rnacentral:piRNA from 1 species